UGUGGCAGAUGAUGUUAAUUCGAAUCUUAUCCUACACACUGAACUCUGGUGUAGACCAACAACUCCGCUUAUUAUCUGAUGCCCGC